UACGUAGGGUGCAAGCGCUAAUCGGAAUUACUGGGCGUAAAGCGUGCGCAGGCGGCUAUGCAAGACAGAUGUGAAAUCCCCGGGCUUAACCUGGGAACUGCAUUUGUGACUGCAUGGCUAGAGUGCGGCAGAGGGGGAUGGAAUUCCGCGUGUAGCAGUGAAAUGCGUAGAUAUGCGGAGGAACACCGAUGGCGAAGGCAAUCCCCUGGGCCUGCACUGACGCUCAUGCACGAAAGCGUGGGGAGCAAACAGG
rnacentral:rRNA from 1 species